UUAGUCUUUUAAUUGAAGACUGGAAUGAAAGAGUAAACCAAGAAAGUAAUUUUUUUUAUUUAUAUUUUGAAGUUUACUUUUUAGUAAAAAGGCUAAAAUAACUCUUAUAGACGAGAAGACCCUAUAAAACUUCUAUACUCUUUUUUCUCUAAGUAGAAAGAUUAGUAUUUUGCUGGGGCGGUAGGAGAAAUGGACUUCUCUUAAAGAAAAAAAGGGAAAUCUUUUUAUAUCUAAACUUUUUGAAGAAGAAAUAAGUUACUUUAGGGAUAACAGCUUUAUUUGCUUUGAAAGUUCCAAUUGACAGGCAAGUUUAGGACCUCGAUGUUGAAUUAAAAAACCUUUAUUUGUGCAAAAGC
rnacentral:rRNA from 1 species